GACGAACGCUGGCGGCGUGCUUAACACAUGCAAGUCGAACGCUGAAGCACAGCUUUUGUUGGGUGGAUGAGUGGCGAACGGGUGAGUAACACGUGAGUAACCUGCCUCCUUCUUUGGGAUAACGCCCGGAAACGGGUGCUAAUACUGGAUAUUCACUGGUCUUCGCGUGGGGGUUGGUGGAAAGGGUUUUUCUGGUGGGGGAUGGGCUCGCGGCCUAUCGGCUUGUUGGUGGGGUGAUGGCCUACCAAAGCUUUGACGGGUUGCCGGCCUGAGAGGGUUCCCGGUCACAUAGGGACGGAGGUACGGCCCAGAGUCCUACGGGAGGCAGCAGUGGGGAAUAUUGCACAAUGGGCGCAAGCCUGAUGCAGCGACGCCGCGGGAGGGAUGGGGGCCUUCGGGUUGUGAACUUCUUUCGCUCAUGGUCAAGCCGCAACAAUGGUUGUGGUGAGGGUAGUGGGUAAAGAAGCGCCGGCUAACUACGUG
rnacentral:rRNA from 1 species